rnacentral:sRNA from 1 species
GUGAACUUUCGUUUGCAGUGGAAAUCCUUUUCUUUUUUCUUUAAAAAAGAAAAGAUUGCAACGAAACGAGCGGGACCAAUG